CAGGGGUAUAGCCCAUGGAAACGUGGAUUAAUCCCCCAUACCAUUAAUAUGUGGCAUCUUAUAUUAAUGAAAUCUUCGGAGGUAUCAGAUGGGCAUGCGUCCUAUUAGCUAGUUGGCGGGGUAACGGCCCACCAAGGCGAUGAUAGGUAGGGGUUCUGAGAGGAAGGUCCCCCACAUUGGAACUGAGACACGGUCCAAACUCCUACGGGAGGCAGCAGUGAGGAAUAUUGGUCAAUGGCCGGAAGGCUGAACCAGCCAAGUCGCGCGAGGGACGACUGCCCUAUGGGUUGUAAACCUCUUUUAUAAGGGAAGAAUAAAUGCUACGUGUAGCAUGAUGCCUGUACCUUAUGAAUAAGCAUCGGCUAACUCCGUGCCAGCAGCCGCGGUAAUACGGAGGAUGCGAGCGUUAUCCGGAUUUAUUGGGUUUAAAGGGUGCGUAGGCGGUUUUUUAAGUUAGUGGUUAAACGUCGGGGCUUCACCUUGAUUUGCCAUUAAUACUGUAAGACUCGAGUUCAGACGAGGUAGGCGGAAUAAGUUAAGUAGCGGUGAAAUGCUUAGACAUAACUUAGAACUCCGAUAGCGAAGGCAGCUUACCAGACUGCGACUGACGCUGAAGCACGAGAGCGUGGGUAGCGAACAGGAUUAGAUACCCUGGUAGUCCACGCCGUAAACGAUAAUCACCGGUUCUGUGCGACACACCGUACGGGAUUAAG
rnacentral:rRNA from 1 species